UACGGGGGGGGCAAGCGUUGUUCGGAAUUACUGGGCGUAAAGGGCUCGUAGGCGGCCAACUAAGUCGGACGUGAAAUCCCCAGGCUCAACCUGGGAACUGCGUCCGAUACUGGAUGGCUUGAAUUCGGGAGAGGGAUGCAGAAUUCCAGGUGUAGCGGUGAAAUGCGUAGAUAUCUGGAGGAAUACCGGUGGCGAAGGCGGCAUCCUGGACCGACAUUGACGCUGAUGUGCGAAAGCGUGGGGAGCAAACAGG
rnacentral:rRNA from 1 species